GCUGGGCAUGGUGGUGGGUGCCUGUAAUCCCAGCUACUUGGGAGGCUGAGGCAGGAGAAUCGCUUGAACCCAGGAGGCUGAGGCUGCAGUGAGCAGAGAUUGCACCACUGUGCUCCAGCCUGGGCAAUAGAGCGAGACUCUGUCUCAU
rnacentral:SRP_RNA from 1 species